rnacentral:rRNA from 1 species
CCUACGGGCGGCAGCAGUGAGGAAUAUUGGUCAAUGGACGAGAGUCUGAACCAGCCAAGUAGCGUGAAGGAUGACUGCCCUAUGGGUUGUAAACUUCUUUUAUAUGGGAAUAAAAUGUUCCACGUGUGGGAUUUUGUAUGUACCCUAUGAAUAAGGAUCGGCUAACUCCGUGCCAGCAGCCGCGGUAAUACGGAGGAUCCGAGCGUUGUCCGGAUUUAUUGGGUUUAAAGGGAGCGUAGGUGGAUUGUUAAGUCAGUUGUGAAAGUUUGCGGCUCAACCGUAAAAUUGCAGUUGAAACUGGCAGUCUGGAGUACAGUAGAGGUGGGCGGAAUUCGUGGUGUAGCGGUGAAAUGCUUAGAUAUCACGAAGAACUCCGAUUGCGAAGGCAGCUCACUGGACUGCAACUGACACUGAGGCUCGAAAGUGUGGGUAUCAAACAGGAUUAGAUACCCUUGUAGUC